GGGUAGGCGUAGGCGGCUGAUUAAGUCAGCGGUGAAAGGUAGCAGCUUAACUGUUUUACAUGCCGUUGAUACUGGUUAGCUUGAGUUGACAGAAGGCAGAUAGAAUUCCUGGUGUAGCGGUGAAAUGCUUAGAUACCAGGAGGAAUACCGAUUGCGAAGGCAGUCUGCUGCAGUCACACUGACGCUGAGGCUCGAAGGUGCGGGGAUCAAACAGGAUUAGAUACCCUAGU
rnacentral:rRNA from 1 species